rnacentral:lncRNA from 1 species
CCGAACCGUUGCCCGUCGGCUCCGCCCACCCGGCUGGCGAGGGGCCGGUUUUUGCGCGCGAGGCUGAGCCGGCCGCGUCGGACCUCUCCGGCCGUGGGGCUCCCGUGAGGGCGGCUUGUGCUGGGCGGCGAGCGCGUUAGAUCCUGGCCUUCUGCCGAGCUUCAGGGCGAGGCCGUGGCAAAACCGGGAUGGAAAAAUCUGAGGGCGUUGCCCGGGUAGCCGUGUUUUCCAUUUCAUUUUGCACGGUGGUGUAGGGAAAAAAAACCCUGCAAAUGUUACUUCGGGGGUGGGGGAGGUGUGCCUUCUCUGGGAAUUAAUGAAGUUUAUUCUUUACUUCUUUAUUCAAUAGAUGUUUGUGGCCGCCGAUCUGAAACGCAAACUCUGGGCGGCUCAUCACGGCAGUAAAAUCCAGCACGUUGCUGAACAAGUUGGUUGUUAUAAAUGAGGACUGCCCGUAAGAAGAAAUGAAGUCCAACACAACCAGAAGGCAGUGACCUGAAAAAGACUGAUUGAGUUACCACUGCUAGUAAGUUAAUCCUUUCCAAUAUUUUCUCAUUCAAUCAUGGCAACAUCCUUACCAUCUUCUGAGCAUUGUGAGUUUUGCAGCCCAGAUAUGGUAGCUCUAAUUAAGUUGUACUUGAAGGCAUGUUUAAUGUAAUUUAGAUGUGGGUUAUUUCAUUGCUGCUUAUUAUUAAAUAAUGAAGGGGGUCUGUUAGUCUACAGUGAUAAAAAUAGCAGGAUGCAUGGCUUGUUAGGAAAGAUGCCACCAGGGUCUUUCUGAUUAUACACAGUUUCUGACUUUUAUUUAAUGAUCUACGUGUCACGCAGAGAGUUGUAACAAUACCUUUUUUGCCUUUUUUUUAUCACUUGCCUCUUGCAUAAAAGCAAGCCUCCUCACUCUCUAAUCUUAUGCACACUGCCCACUCUCAUCCUCUCCCCUUCUUGCAUGACUGGCUUAAUGAGCACUUGGGAGAAUUAUGAAAACUGAUCUGAAAAAGUUAGCAGAAGUGAUAUUUAGCUCUUAGAG